GACGAACGCUGGCGGCAUGCCUAAUACAUGCAAGUCGAGCGAACAGAUGAAGUGCUUGCACUUCUGACGUUAGCGGCGAACGGGUGAGUAACACGUAAGGAAUCUACCUAUAAGCGGGGGAUAACAUUCGGAAACGGGUGCUAAUACCGCAUAAUAUCUUCUUCCGCAUGGAAGAAGAUUGAAAGACGGCUCUGCUGUCACUUAUAGAUGACCUUGCGGUGCAUUAGUUAGUUGGUGGGGUAACGGCCUACCAAGACGAUGAUGCAUAGCCGACCUGAGAGGGUGAUCGGCCACAUUGGGACUUGAGACCACGGCCCAA
rnacentral:rRNA from 1 species